rnacentral:rRNA from 1 species
GGUAGGCUAACACAUGCAGUCGAACGAGGUAGCAUACUUAGUGGCAGACGGGUGAGUAACAUAUGGGUAUCUGCCCUUUGGCCGUGGGAAUAACACGAGGAAAGUUGUGCUAAUACCGGAUAAGUCUUUACGGAGAAAGCUGUCAUGCACCAUUGGAUGAGCCCGCACUUGAUUAGUUUGUUGGUGGGGUAAUGGCCUACCAGGACUGUGAUCGAUAGCUGAUUUGAGAGGAUGAUCAGCCACAUUGGGACUGAGACACGGCCCAAACUCCUGCGGGAGGCAGCAGUGGGGAAUCUUGCACAAUGGAGGAAACUCUGAUCCAGCAAUGCCGCGUGUGUGAAGAAGGCCUGCGGGUUGUAAAGCACUUUCAGUUGGGAAGAUGAUGACGUUACCCACAGAAGAAGCACCGGCUAAAUCCGUGCCAGCAGCCGCGGUAAUACGGAGGGGGCAAGCGUUGUUCGGAAUCAUUGGGUUUAAAGGGUCCGCAGGCGGUUCAACAAGUCGGUCGUGAA